AUUGAACGCUGGCGGCAGGCCUAACACAUGCAAGUCGAACGGUAGCACAGAGAGCUUGCUCUCGGGUGACGAGUGGCGGACGGGUGAGUAAUGUCUGGGAAACUGCCCGAUGGAGGGGGGUAACUACUGGAAACGGUAGCUAAUACCGCAUAACGUCGCAAGACCAAAGAGGGGGGACCUUCGGGCCUCUUGCCAUCGGAUGUGCCCAGAUGGGAUUAGCUUGUAGGUGAGGUAACGG
rnacentral:rRNA from 1 species